rnacentral:rRNA from 1 species
UACAUGGGGUGCAAACGUUGCUCGGAAUUAUUGGGCGUAAAGCGCACGUAGGCGGUUCGUUAAGUCGGAUGUGAAAGCCCUCGGCUCAACUGAGGAAGUGCACCCGAAACUGGCGAGCUUGAGUACGAAAGAGGAUCGCGGAAUCCCCGGUGUAGAGGUGAAAUUCGUAGAUAUCGGGAGGAACACCGGUGGCGAAGGCGGCGAUCUGGGUCGAUACUGACGCUGAGGUGCGAAAGCGUGGGGAGCAAACAGGG